rnacentral:rRNA from 1 species
GACGAACGCUGGCGGCGUGCUUAACACAUGCAAGUCGAGCGGUAAGGCCCUUUCGGGGGUACACGAGCGGCGAACGGGUGAGUAACACGUGGGUGACCUGCCCUCAGCUCUGGGAUAAGCCCGGGAAACUGGGUCUAAUACCGGAUAUGACUCCAUGACGCAUGUUGUGGGGUGGAAAGCCUUGUGCGGCUGAGGAUGGGCCCGCGGCCUAUCAGCUUGUUGGUGGGGUGAUGGCCACCAAGGCGACGACGGGUAGCCGGCCUGAGAGGGCGACCGGCCACACUGGGACUGAGAUACGGCCCAGACUCCUACGGGAGGCAGCAGUGGGGAAUCUUGCGCAAUGGGCGAAAGCCUGACGCAGCGACGCCGCGUGAGGGAUGACGGCC